AGUGAACGCUGGCGGUAGGCCUAACACAUGCAAGUCGAACGGCAGCACAGUAAGAGCUUGCUCUUACGGGUGGCGAGUGGCGGACGAGUGAGGAAUACAUCGGAAUCUACUUUUUCGUGGGGGAUAACGUAGGGAAACUUACGCUAAUACCGCAUACGACCUACGGGUGAAAGCAGGGGAUCUUCGGACCUUGCGCGAUUGAAUGAGCCGAUGUCGGAUUAGCUAGUUGGCGGGGUAAAGGCCCACUAAGGCGACGAUCCGUAGCUGGUCUGAGAGGAUGAUCAGCCACACUGGAACUGAGACGCGGUCCAGACUCCUACGGGAGGCAGCAGUGGGGAAUAUUGGACAAUGGGCGCAAGCCUGAUCCAGCCAUACCGCGUGGGUGAAGAAGGCCUUCGGGUUGUAAAGCCCUUUUGUUGGGAAAGAAAAGCAGCAGGUUAAUACCCCGCUGUUCUGACGGUACCCAAAGAAUAAGCACCGGCUAACUUCGUG
rnacentral:rRNA from 1 species